GCAGGCAGCUGCUCUGACCUCACAGCCGUGGUGGCUCUGCUUUCACAAUUGGGGUGCCCAGGGUGGUAGCCACGUGGCAACUGUGUGUCUGCACAUCCCCAUUUUGGUUUGCAAAAGGCCGUGCUGGCAGGCCUGCCUGAAGGUCAGAUGGUUCCUCCUACCAGCUAACCAGUCUUGAUUGCAACAGCUCUGCUAAUUGUGGAUAUCAGUGAGAGAUUAUCUGACUUUCACCAGCUCAGGUGCUCCACCUACACUUAGUCACAGUCAAAGAUUUGUUUUGCGCUUUUUUUUUUUUGAUGUUUAAAAGGUUAGAAUGCACUGCUCCAAGCUAUAAUGGACAAAAGAGCACAUUUUAAGUGAAAUUAAACCAUGCUUCUCUCAAUUUAAAUAGAAUACAUUAGCUCUGCUGGUACAUUGCUCCAUAAGAAUGGUAGCACCUGCAACUUCACAGGCAUCCAUAAAAUAUUUUUGUAAACAUCAAAUUACUGAACAUAGUACAACACCCUCUGCAAUCAAUCAACAUUUUCCUUUCUUACUACAAAAUUUGUCUCAUAAACCUGAAUUAAUAAUCAAUUAAAUCUAAACCCCAGGUUGUGCUCCCAGGGAAUGGGCGCAGCCCCGAGGCUGCCAGAGCUCCAGGAGUGUUUGGACAAUGCUCUCAGAGAUGCCAGGGUGGGAUUGUUGGGGUGUCUGUGCAGGGCAGGAGUUGCACUUGAUGAUCCUUGUGGACCCCUGUCAUCUCAGGAGAUUCUAUGAUUUUACAAUUUCCUUCUCAAGCUAUCAGCUGGCACUUGCCACCGAGCAAGAAUAAAACCAAAUCCAUUUACAAGAA